rnacentral:rRNA from 1 species
GAUUGAACGCUGGCGGCAUGCUUUACACAUGCAAGUCGAACGGUAACAGGUCUUCGGAUGCUGACGAGUGGCGAACGGGUGAGUAAUGCAUCGGAACGUGCCCAGUCGUGGGGGAUAACGCAGCGAAAGCUGUGCUAAUACCGCAUACGAUCUAUGGAUGAAAGCGGGGGAUCGCAAGACCUCGCGCGAUUGGAGCGGCCGAUGUCAGAUUAGCUAGUUGGUGGGGUAAAGGCCCACCAAGGCGACGAUCUGUAGCUGGUCUGAGAGGACGACCAGCCACACUGGGACUGAGACACGGCCCAGACUCCUACGGGAGGCAGCAGUGGGGAAUUUUGGACAAUGGGCGCAAGCCUGAUCCAGCAAUGCCGCGUGCAGGAAGAAGGCCUUCGGGUUGUAAACUGCUUUUGUACGGAACGAAAAGGUCUGGGUUAAUAUCCUGGGCUCAUGACGGUACCGUAAGAAUAAGCACCGGCUAACUACGUGCCAGCAGCCGCGGUAAUA